rnacentral:rRNA from 1 species
GACGAACGCUGGCGGCGUGCCUAAUACAUGCAAGUCGAGCGAACAGACGAGGAGCUUGCUCCUUUGACGUUAGCCGCAGACGUGUGAGUAACACGUAUGUCAUCCACCUAUAUUUCUGGGAUCACCUCGGGAAACCGGCGCUAAUACCGGAGAAUAUUCCGCAGCGCGGGGGUCGAUAGUGAAAGAUGGCUUUUCUAUCACGUAUCGAUGGAUCUGGGCCGUAUUAGCUAGUUGGUAAGGUCACGGCCUACCAAGGCGACUAUUCGUAGACGACCUCAGAGGGUGGUCGGCCACAUUGGAGCGGGGACGCGGUCCAGACGCCUACGGGAGGCAGCAGUAGGGAAUCUUCCGCAAUGGGCGAGAGCCUUACGGAGCAACGCCGAGUGAGAGAUGAAGGUCUUCGGAUCGUAAAACUCUGUUAUUAGUGAAAAACAAACGUGUACGUAACUGUGCACGGCUUGACGGUACUUAAUCAGAAAGCCACGGCUAACUACGUG